rnacentral:rRNA from 1 species
CCUACGGGAGGCAGCAGUGGGGAAUAUUGCACAAUGGGGGAAACCCUGAUGCAGCGACGCCGCGUGAGUGAGGAAGUAUUUCGGUAUGUAAAGCUCUAUCAGCAGGGAAGAAAAUGACGGUACCUGACUAAGAAGCACCGACUACCUACUUGCCAGCAGCCGCGGUAAUACGUAGGGGGCAAGCGUUAUCCGGAUUUACUGGGUGUAAAGGGGGUGGAGACGGCAAAGCAAGUCAGAAGUGAUAACCCAGGGCUCAACCUAUGGAGGGCUUUUGAAACUGAUUAUCUAGAGUGCAGGAGAGGUAAGCGGAAUUCCUAGUGUAGCGGUGAAAUGCGUAGAUAUUAGGAGGAACACCAGUGGCGAAGGCGGCUUACUGGACUGUAACUGACGUUGAGGCUCGAAAGCGUGGGGAGCAAACAGGAUUAGAUACCCGGGUAGUC